AUACGUAGGGGGCGAGCGUUGUCCGGAAUGAUUGGGCGUAAAGGGCGCGUAGGCGGCCCGGUAAGUCUGGAGUGAAAGUCCUGUUUUUAAGAUGGGCAUUGCUUUGGAUACUGUCGGGCUUGAGUGCAGGAGAGGUAAGUGGAAUUCCCAGUGUAGCGGUGAAAUGCGUGUAGAUUGUGAGGAACACCAGUGGCUAAUGCGCUGUUCUAAACUGUAACUGGCACUGAAGCUCAAAAGUGUAAAGAACAAACAGGAUGUGGUGCCCUGCUAGUCCUCACUGUACACGAUGAGUGCUAAGUGUAGGGGGUGUCUAGCCCUUCUAUGCUGCAGUCAACACAAGAACCAAUCCGCCUCGGCAGUACUGCCGCAAGGUUGAAACUCACAGAAUUUGACGGGU
rnacentral:rRNA from 1 species